UACGGAGGGUGCAAGCGUUGUCCGGAUUUAUUGGGUUUAAAGGGUGCGUAGGCGGCCCUGUAAGUCAGUGGUGAAAUUCUUGAGCUUAACUGAAGGAUUGCCAUUGAUACUGUAGGGCUUGAGUACAGAUGAGGUAGGCGGAAUUGAUGGUGUAGCGGUGAAAUGCGUAGAUAUCUGGAGGAAUACCGGUGGCGAAGGCGGCAUCCUGGACCGGCAUUGACGCUGAUGAGCGAAAGCCAGGGGAGCAAACGGG
rnacentral:rRNA from 1 species